UGUGUGUGUGUGUUAGUGUGUCUGUGUGUGUGUGUGUUAGUGUGUCUGUUUGUGUCUAUGACAGACAUACUGACAUACACACAGACAUACUGACACAUACACACACACAGACAUACACACACACACACACA